CCUACGGGAGGCAGCAGUGGGGGAUAUUGCACAAUGGGGGGAACCCUGAUGCAGCGACGCCGCGUGGGUGAAGAAGCGCCUCGGCGCGUAAAGCCCUGUCAGCAGGGAAGAAAAUGACGGUACCUGAAGAAGAAGCCCCGGCUAACUACGUGCCAGCAGCCGCGGUAAUACGUAGGGGGCAAGCGUUAUCCGGAUUUACUGGGUGUAAAGGGCGUGUAGCCGGGCUGACAAGUCAGAUGUGAAAUCCGGGGGCUCAACCCCCGAACUGCAUUUGAAACUGUUGGUCUUGAGUAUCGGAGAGGCAGGCGGAAUUCCUAGUGUAGCGGUGAAAUGCGUAGAUAUUAGGAGGAACACCAGUGGCGAAGGCGGCCUGCUGGACGACAACUGACGGUGAGGCGCGAAAGCGUGGGGAGCAAACAGGAUUAGAUACCCCUGUAGUC
rnacentral:rRNA from 1 species